UUCCAGGAGCGCAUAAAAUAUAAAACUAAAAUAUGGAAACAAUAGGCUAUAUGUAGCCUAAGAAGAAAAUGAGGAAUGCAGCAUGAUUAAUCAAAGUGAACAAAACGAUUGAAUUAUUAUUUAAAAGAAAAAGACAAAGGUUAAAUGGGUUUCUCUCUCCCCCAGUGACCCCUUUCUCUGGUUCCAUUGCGCGGCCCGUCAUGGCGCACCGCCGCCAGCAGAGGCCGCUGCGCACCAACAUGUUGCUGCGGAGGGAGAUAACGGGAGAGGUGUGUGAUGAACCCGGGAUGUGUUGAGGCUCCCUCCCGCACAGAAUCAAUAAAAAGAAGAAAACACCUUGAUCGAGGCGCAGACGAGCCGGCACCGGAGCGGCGCGCCUCGGCUCUGCCGCGGAGACGAUCACACCGCCGGAAUGUGAGCAUGUUUACUGGAGGUGGUGGGGGGGUGGAAACGCGCUCGGACAUUUAUUCAGCUCUCUUUCAAGUCUUCUUCCAGCAGCAUAACUGCAGACGCGGGGACACCUCCACUGCCCCCCCUCCUCCACCACCACCGCAGCCAGCACCACUAGACGGGAACCUAUAAUUGGAGGCGAGCCAGUGACGCGCUGAAAAUAACCAGAAUGGAAACUGGGCGCGGGACUGGGCGCGGGACUGGGUGCGCACCGGAGAUUUCACGGCGAGACGAAGGCAAGGAGGAAAAGAAGAGGUGGAGGGGGGAGACUGGCACAAGGCGCGACACUGUUGCAUGUUUUUUCCCCUCCUCCUCUUUGUACAGACAGGGGACAAAGAUUGACAAUGGAGGAGGAUGAGGAGGGGGGACUUGUCCCAGAAGACAAUUCGUAAUUCGUCCCCACCUCUCAGGCCAGGGAAAAAGGAUAUUCUUGCUCAGUUUGGGGAUGCGUGCAAAGUGAUCACAUAUUAGUUGGGCGGCGGUGGACUGGGGGAAGUUCAACUCCUUCCUGAAGAAAAGUCCUCAUGGGCUGCGGGGAUGCAGACAUCUGCCCGGUGCGCGCGGGGGGACACCAUCCAAACCUCCAAACACCGACUGACACCUCCUGUUUGGGGUGUUGGUGAAAUCCUGUGGUAUUCCGGCUCGUUUGAUCAAACAGGUAAGUCGUGUAUCGCACCAUGAAGAUUUCUCACCACAAGAGUCGUCCAAUCAGAGGAGCACUUUUAUAACCCGCCUUCUAAAACCUCAUGUGUAACAUGUUACAACCAGAAGCACUUUGAAGACAUUCACAUAGGAAUGGUUAUUGUUCAGGUUUCUUUUUAAUUCUUUUUUUUUUUGUGGAUAAGGACUUUUCUAGAAACGGUUCCACGUUUACAGUUUUUUAUUUGUUUAUUUAACAGCAACACACAUUUGUAAUUGGAAAACCUGUGUGGUCAGGGCCACUAACAAAGUUGCAGGUUAUCUGCUGACAAGAUGGCGGAUUUCUACAUCAAGAAAACAUUUGAAAUAGCAGAUUUUAUGUAACUGUUAUUCCUGAUCACAGAGGAUUAACAAAGCGGAUAUAAGCRUGUUUUGGACCGAGUCAGAUCGGCUGAUCUGUACCUGUUUGCUUCAUGUCCUGAGAUGACUUUGUUGUGAAUUGUUGCCCUUUAAAUAAAUUGAAUUUAAAACAUGCAA